UACGUAGGGUGCGAGCGUUGUCCGGAAUUAUUGGGCGUAAAGAGCUCGUAGGCGGUUCGUCGCGUCGGCUGUGAAAUCCCGAGGCUCAACCUCGGGUCUGCAGUCGAUACGGGCGGACUGGAGUACUGCAGGGGAGACUGGAAUUCCUGGUGUAGCGGUGAAAUGCGCAGAUAUCAGGAGGAACACCGGUGGCGAAGGCGGGUCUCUGGGCAGUUGACUGACGCUGAGGAGCGAAAGCGUGGGGAGCGAACAGG
rnacentral:rRNA from 1 species